rnacentral:rRNA from 1 species
GAUGAACGCUGGCGGCGUGCCUAAUACAUGCAAGUCGAGCGAACAGACGAGGAGCUUGCUCCUCUGACGUUAGCGGCGGACGGGUGAGUAACACGUGGAUAACCUACCUAUAAGACUGGGAUAACUUCGGGAAACCGGAGCUAGUACCGGAUAAUAUAUUGAACCGCAUGGUUCAAUAGUGAAAGACGGUUUUGCUGUCACUUAUAGAUGGAUCCGCGCCGCAUUAGCUAGUUGGUAAGGUAACGGCUUACCAAGGCAACGAUGCGUAGCCGACCUGAGAGGGUGAUCGGCCACACUGGAACUGAGACACGGUCCAGACUCCUACGGGAGGCAGCAGUAGGGAAUCUUCCGCAAUGGGCGAAAGCCUGACGGAGCAACGCCGCGUGAGUGAUGAAGGUCUUCGGAUCGUAAAACUCUGUUAUUAGGGAAGAACAAAUGUGUAAGUAACUAUGCACGUCUUGACGGUACCUAAUCAGUAAGCCACGGCUAACUACGUG